rnacentral:lncRNA from 1 species
CUGAAGUUAAAUUAAAAUGGAUCAAAAUUGUUUGAAGAAAAAAGAAAAAGAAAAAACAGACUCCUUAAUUAACUUGCUACACAUAUCAACACAAUUUUGAAUAUAAAUGAGCAUAUUUCAUAGAUAAUAUCCAUUUUCUUUUAUUUAUAACAUAUAUAUAUAUAAUAAAUUCAUCUGAAGAUCAGCAUAGCCUGCUUUAAUGGGGCAAUUCAUCAGCCAUUUUAGUCUCCGAAUUGUUACAAUUUAUUCGACAACGACAAUGUUUCACACAUUUUAUAAACCAAACGCAGCAUUCAAUACCAUUUCCUGUAAAAUAUAUAUAUCAAAAACAAAAAUUUAUUAUUUUCACCUUAUAUUAGUUAGAAUAAUAAUAAUAAUAAAAAAAAAACAGGAUAAUAUGCUAAAAACUCACCUUCAAUAUUUUUACUACUAUUAUUAUGGACCGCAACCUUAGUUGUUAGUGCAGGCCUAGGAAGCUUCACAAUGGUAGUAUCUGCAUUUGUCGAAGUAGCUAAGAAUGUUAUGCUUAUGAAGAGGUAUGAGAAGAGAACAAACACCACAAUUUCCUUUCUAACCAUCUUUUCGAUCCAAUACAAUUUUUCUUCUAUCUGUUGGCUAAUUAUAACCUUUGGUAUUUAUAAUACUACCCCGUUCCAUUAUUUUAAACUUAGUUU